AGUGAACGCUGGCGGUAGGCCUAACACAUGCAAGUCGAACGGCAGCACAGUAAGAGCUUGCUCUUACGGGUGGCGAGUGGCGGACGGGUGAGGAAUACAUCGGAAUCUACUUUUUCGUGGGGGAUAACGUAGGGAAACUUACGCUAGUACCGCAUACGACCUACGGGUGAAAGCAGGGGAUCUUCGGACCUUGCGCGAUUGAAUGAGCCGAUGUCGGAUUAGCUAGUUGGCGGGGUAAAGGCCCACCAAGGCGACGAUCCGUAGCUGGUCUGAGAGGAUGAUCAGCCACACUGGAACUGAGACACGGUCCAGACUCCUACGGGAGGCAGCAGUGGGGAAUAUUGGACAAUGGGCGCAAGCCUGAUCCAGCCAUACCGCGUGGGUGAAGAAGGCCUUCGGGUUGUAAAGCCCUUUUGUUGGGAAAGAAAAGCAGCAGGCUAAUACCCCGCUGUUCUGACGGUACCCAAAGAAUAAGCACCGGCUAACUUCGUG
rnacentral:rRNA from 1 species